ACUUUCACAUCCUCUAUCAACACCUGCACACUUCAGUGGUGACCACACACACUCUUCCUGUUUGUACGGAAAGCUUGCCAGGGAGAAGGGAGCUGAGCCCUCAGCCUCAGAAGAAAGACAUUGAACAACUUGAGAGUGAAAGAAAAGGAGCGCAUGAGUUGAGAGGCAGAGAACCUAGAGGGCUGAUCCUUCCACCCCAAGAUACGGUUUCACACACCCAAGAAGCCUCAGGAAGGAGAAGCAGACUGCAUGCUGGACCAGGAGGGGAGUAUGGUGACAAAUAGUCCUGGUGGAGGUGGGGCUGGGCUUCCAUCACCUUCCAGCAGGACCACCCACACAGCUGGCUUUUGGCCAGGCCUAUCCUUCCAGGGGAAGGGGGGGAUUGUAAAAGGAAAAUUCCCACCUGGUCACAAAAGACCUCUGCAUGGCAGCCAGGUCUGCAGAAUAAAGCCAGAAUUAAUAAAGCUAUGUAAGGUCUCUCCUCUCUCAGUUUCUAUCCAAAGGGAGAUCUUCGUUGGAUGCCACAUUGGCUUCUGGGCCUAUUUAGGAGGUUUCCUAUUCCAGGAGAUAUUCCAUCACCCUUUCAGCUGACAAUACACCACUCUCCAGGCAGGAGGUUGGGCUGGAAGUUUGCGGACUACACCCCGAGGCCUGUCCUCUUCCCUGGAAGAAAUAAGAAGAAAGGAGGUGGGUUUCCAGGGGCCGAGGAGCUGGAGGAUGGGGGGGACCCUAAUGGGAGGGCUAACUGCAGGUCCCAUCAGAAUAGGUUUCCCAGUCUCCUUUAUUUCACUUAACUUACUGACUCCAGAUAUUUUAAACGGUUUGUUUAUGGCGCUGCUGCAGGCUGCGCUAACUCUCCCCGCGCCAGGGGCGCCCAGGGCAUCUCCCAGCAUCCAGGUCUGCAGCCUCCUGACCGCGCGGCCCGCGGGGGAGCCGGGCAGGGUCAGUCGAAUCCCGGGCCCCCCAAGAAGUGUGC
rnacentral:lncRNA from 1 species